GCUCAGUGGCCUAAUGGUUAGAGCGUCCGCCUCGGAUGCGGAAGGUUACGGAUUUCGAACCCGGCGUAGUCA